UUGCUUUUAAGGGGGGUUCAUUUUAAGAAGACAUAUGUUUAGCCUGUGACAGGGCUCAGCCAACAUAAUGGAUUUUCAGGCUCAAAUUUUCAUCUUCCUUCUGCUCAGUGUCACAGAAUCCAAUGGAGAAAUUGUACUGACCCAGUCUCCAACAUCCAUGGCUGUUUCCCAAGGAGAAAAAGUCACCAUCUCCUGCACGGCCAGCUCGAGUGUAAGCACCAGCUACUUGCACUGGUACCAACAGAAGCCAGGAUCCCCUCCAAGGCUUCUUGUUUAUAGCACAUCAAGUCUGGCUUCUGGAGUCCCAGCCAGGUUCAGUGGCAGCGGUUCUGGGACCUCUUACACUCUCACAAUUAGCAGCAUGGAGGCUGAUGAUGCUGCAAGCUAUUACUGUCAGCAGUCGAGUAGCUAUCCAUCCACAGUGUUACAGACUGCAACAAAAAGCUUCCUCCUCACGGCCCAUCUGCUUCCCCCUCUGAGAUUGUUGUGGUCAUGGUCCCUGCUUCUUACUUCACAGUGGCCUCUAGUGAAGUCAGGGUGGGAUUAGUUGACUGCUGAUGAUGGUUGGCCAGUAGAAGAAAAUAAAGAAACAAGGUCAAGGGGAUACAUAAAUCCUGAAAGGGCUCCAGUUUGGGGGCAGCCUGUGUAACAAAGGCAAAAAUGUAGGUAUGUUGCCAUUCUUUUCUCACUAGAGCAUUAAUCUUGAGGUAGGUUGUUUCUUAAGAUGUGAGUGCAUAAGCAGGACCAAGAGGAUAAAACUAGCAGUAGAACUUUUCUUCAAUCAAGAAAAAUUGAUUAUAGGCAGCAACCACACAAUCC